UACGGAGGGGGCUAGCGUUGUUCGGAAUUACUGGGCGUAAAGCGCACGUAGGCGGACUGUUAAGUCGGGGGUGAAAUCCUGGGGCUCAACCUCAGAAUUGCCUCCGAUACUGGCAGUCUCGAGUGCGGGAGAGGUGAGUGGAAUUCCCAGUGUAGAGGUGAAAUUCGUAGAUAUUGGGAAGAACACCAGUGGCGAAGGCGGCUCACUGGCCCGUAACUGACGCUGAGGUGCGAAAGCGUGGGGGAGCAAACAGG
rnacentral:rRNA from 1 species